UUUGAGCUAUAGACAAACAUGGUCAAAAAAUCUGCCGGACCAUUAGUUGCUGAGAUAACUUGGCGGCAGAUUUUUUGACCAUGUUUGUCUAUAGCUCAA
rnacentral:pre_miRNA from 1 species